UGACACCGCCGGGAGCCGGCCAAACGGGCAAGCUCCGAUGCUUCUCUCUCUGUCCCCAACCCAACACUAAUCCAUAACCCAGCAGCUUCAUUUCCUCCUCCAGGUUGCAGGUACAGCUGGGGCAGGGGCUGGAGCACACAGUCUCGUGCAUUCCUGACGUCACCAGGCAUAUGUUACAUACUGGGAAGAGACCAGAAUUGUCAGCAGUUGAGUGGAAGAAGCUGAAGCACUAUAGCAUUUCCUAGUUGCCACUGGUGUUUACUGGCAAACGGACGUCAUUUGCAUUGGAACUUCAAACACGGAGUGUUCUAAUUUAGUGCCUAGGCUACGUUAUAAAAACGACUUCUGUGGCCGAGAGCUCUUUUUGGAGGGAAC